CCUACGGGUGGCAGCAGUGAGGAAUAUUGGUCAAUGGGCGCUUGCCUGAACCAGCCAAGUAGCGUGAAGGAUGACUGCCCUAUGGGUUGUAAACUUCUUUUAUAUGGGAAUAAAGUGCAGUAUGUAUACUGCUUUGCAUGUACCUUAUGAAUAAGGAUCGGCUAACUCCGUGCCAGCAGCCGCGGUAAUACGGAGGAUCCGAGCGUUAUCCGGAUGUAUUGGGUUUAAAGGGAGCGUAGGCGGGUUGUUAAGUCAGUUGUGAAAGUUUGCGGCUCAACCGUAAAAUUGCAGUUGAUACGGGCCUCCUUGAGUACAGUAGAGGUAGGGUGAAUUCGUGGUGUAGCGGGUAAAGGCUUAGAUAUCACGAAGAACUCCGAUUGCGAGGGCAGCCUGCUGGACUGUAUCUGACGCGGAGGCUAGAAAGUGUGGGUAUCAAACAGGAUGAGAGACCCUAGUAGUC
rnacentral:rRNA from 1 species